UACGGGAGGCAGCAGUGGGGAAUAUUGCACAAUGGGCGCAAGCCUGAUGCAGCCAUGCCGCGUGUAUGAAAAAGGCCUUCGGGUUGUAAAGUACUUUCAGUCGUGAGGAAGGUGUUAAGGUUAAUAACCUUAGCAAUUGACGUUAGCGACAGAAGAAGCACCGGCUAACUCCGUGCCAGCAGCCGCGGUAAUACGGAGGGUGCGAGCGUUAAUCGGAAUUACUGGGCGUAAAGGGCACGCAGGCGGUUAAUUAAGUUGGAUGUGAAUCCCCGGGCUUAACCUGGGAAUGGCAUUCAAGACUGGUUAGCUAGAGUCUUGUAGAGGGGGUAGAAUUCCGAUGUGUAGCGGUGAAAUGCGUAGAGAUGUGGAGGAAUACCGGUGGCGAAGGCGGCCCCUGGACAAAGACUGACGCUCAUGUGCGAAAGCGUGGGGAGCGAAACAGGGAUUAGAUACCCGU
rnacentral:rRNA from 1 species